rnacentral:rRNA from 1 species
AUGUUCACAGUCCGGUCGGCGUACCAUGCUGAGUGGGAUCACCAGUUUGGACGAUGGUUUGAGAGAACGGAAGGCCAACAAUCACAGCGCUAUCUAGUAUGGGCGAAGCUGUGGGAGUCCUCAUUGCCGGGAAAGAUCAAGAUCCACGCAUGGAAAGUCCUGCAUGGGUUCGUACCAUGUUUUGGAGUUCUGGCAAACCGACAUAUUGCUUUGCCUAGGAACUGUCCGAUGUGUGCAGGAGGCUGUGAGGACAUCAAGCAUGCAUUAUUUACCUGUCCAAGAGCGUCGGAAAUAUGGAGAUGUCUAAAACUAGAUGGAUUUGUGGGGGAGGCGAGUAAUGUAGACAGAGCUGGUUCUUCAGUUUUGGACCAUAUUUUAUGUAUGCCAACGAGAGGAAGCCUGCUUCCAGAGGUGAGUGCACAAACAUUAAUCCUCGUUGGGAUAUGGUAUAUCUGGUGGGAGAGAAGGCAACUAGUUCAUGGAGAAGAGGUCCAAUCGCCAGCUCGGUCGGCUUUGUCAAUUUCUGCCCUAGCUGCAAAUUAUACGCAUGCAAGGAAGAAGGAGACUGGGGUGAAGAAGGAACGAUGGAUCAAGCCUAUGGACGGAUGUGUUAAGCUCAAUGUUGAUGCAGCAUUCCAUGUAGAAACUCUCAGUGGAGCGGUCGGGGCAGUGCUGAGGGAUGACAGAGGGGGAUUCAUAGCGGCGUCCAAUGAAAAACUUGAGCAUGUGGUGGACGCGGCAACAGCUGAAGUGUGA